AAACAAUGGUAAGUUCAUUUGAGUAUUCUAACAUAACCAACCAUGGAAAGAAAACUUGCAUCUUCAGAUUAUACAGAAUUAUAGACCCAUCAAUAGGGAAUCCUGAGAUCACCAGAAAAUAAUAUGAAGUUCUGAAACUCAAUUAUGAACAUUCAAUUGCAACACCCAAGCCCUGACCAUGUACACAAAUGUGCUCACUAACAAAAGUUUCAGACACUACAAUAACCAAUUAGACUGGACCAAAAGAUUAUAUUUCUUAGCAGACAUAGCAUUAAUAAAAGAAUAACAGCAUAGCAUAAAGGCUUGAGGCAAAUAACUAUAAUUUUGGGCUUGAGACAAUUAGGAAAAGACAUGAAAAUUUUGGACAGAUUUGAAGAACUCAAUAUCCACCAAACAGUAUGGAUUCAAAUUUGUAUAUUAAGGAAAUAAUUAUGUUCUCUAGUCUUCAGAAGAUCCAGCCACAAAAU
rnacentral:misc_RNA from 1 species